rnacentral:rRNA from 1 species
UACGGAGGGACCAAGCGUUAUCCGGAAUCAUUGGGUUUAAAGGGUCCGUAGGCGGUUUUGUAAGUCAGUGGGGAAAGCCCAUCGCUCAACGGUGGAACGGCCAUUGAUACUGCAAGACUUGAAUUAUUAGGAAGUAACUAGAAUAUGUAGUGUAGCGGUGAAAUGCUUAGAUAUUACAUGGAAUACCAAUUGCGAAGGCAGGUUACUACUAAUUGAUUGACGCUGAUGGACGAAAGCGUGGGGAGCGAACAGG